rnacentral:rRNA from 1 species
CCUACGGGGGGCUGCAGUGGGGAAUAUUGGACAAUGGGGGGAACCCUGAUCCAGCCAUGCCGCGUGUGUGAAGAAGGCCCUCGGGUUGUAAAGCACUUUCAGUGAGGAAGAACGCCUGGUGGUUAAUACCCAUCAGGAAAGACAUCACUCACAGAAGAAGCACCGGCUAACUCCGUGCAGCAGCCGCGGUAAUACGGAGGGUGCGAGCGUUAAUCGGAAUUACUGGGCGUAAAGCGCGCGUAGGUGGCUUGAUAAGCCGGUUGUGAAAGCCCCGGGCUCAACCUGGGAACGGCAUCCGGAACUGUCAAGCUAGAGUGCAGGAGAGGAAGGUAGAAUUCCCGGUGUAGCGGUGAAAUGCGUAGAGAUCGGGAGGAAUACCAGUGGCGAAGGCGGCCUUCUGGACUGACACUGACACUGAGGUGCGAAAGCGUGGGUAGCAAACAGGAUUAGAUACCCGAGUAGUC